rnacentral:rRNA from 1 species
GGGUUGUGAGGUUAAGCGACUAAGCGUACACGGUGGAUGCCCUGGCAGUCAGAGGCGAUGAAGGACGUGCUAAUCUGCGAUAAGCGUCGGUAAGGUGAUAUGAACCGUUAUAACCGGCGAUUUCCGAAUGGGGAAACCCAGUGUGUUUCGACACACUAUCAUUAACUGAAUCCAUAGGUUAAUGAGGCGAACCGGGGGAACUGAAACAUCUAAGUACCCCGAGGAAAAGAAAUCAACCGAGAUUCCCCCAGUAGCGGCGAGCGAACGGGGAGCAGCCCAGAGCCUGAAUCAGUGUGUGUGUUAGUGGAAGCGUCUGGAAAGGCGCGCGAUACAGGGUGACAGCCCCGUACACAAAAAUGCACAUGCUGUGAGCUCGAUGAGUAGGGCGGGACACGUGGUAUCCUGUCUGAAUAUGGGGGGACCAUCCUCCAAGGCUAAAUACUCCUGACUGACCGAUAGUGAACCAGUACCGUGAGGGAAAGGCGAAAAGAACCCCGGCGAGGGGAGUGAAAAAGAACCUGAAACCGUGUACGUACAAGCAGUGGGAGCCUCUUUAUGGGGUGACUGCGUACCUUUUGUAUAAUGGGUCAGCGACUUAUAUUCUGUAGCAAGGUUAACCGAAUAGGGGAGCCGAAGGGAAACCGAGUCUUAACUGGGCGUUAAGUUGCAGGGUAUAGACCCGAAACCCGGUGAUCUAGCCAUGGGCAGGUUGAAGGUUGGGUAACACUAACUGGAGGACCGAACCGACUAAUGUUGAAAAAUUAGCGGAUGACUUGUGGCUGGGGGUGAAAGGCCAAUCAAACCGGGAGAUAGCUGGUUCUCCCCGAAAGCUAUUUAGGUAGCGCCUCGUGAAUUCAUCUCCGGGGGUAGAGCACUGUUUCGGCAAGGGGGUCAUCCCGACUUACCAACCCGAUGCAAACUGCGAAUACCGGAGAAUGUUAUCACGGGAGACACACGGCGGGUGCUAACGUCCGUCGUGAAGAGGGAAACAACCCAGACCGCCAGCUAAGGUCCCAAAGUCAUGGUUAAGUGGGAAACGAUGUGGGAAGGCCCAGACAGCCAGGAUGUUGGCUUAGAAGCAGCCAUCAUUUAAAGAAAGCGUAAUAGCUCACUGGUCGAGUCGGCCUGCGCGGAAGAUGUAACGGGGCUAAACCAUGCACCGAAGCUGCGGCAGCGACGCUUAUGCGUUGUUGGGUAGGGGAGCGUUCUGUAAGCCUGUGAAGGUGUGCUGUGAGGCAUGCUGGAGGUAUCAGAAGUGCGAAUGCUGACAUAAGUAACGAUAAAGCGGGUGAAAAGCCCGCUCGCCGGAAGACCAAGGGUUCCUGUCCAACGUUAAUCGGGGCAGGGUGAGUCGACCCCUAAGGCGAGGCCGAAAGGCGUAGUCGAUGGGAAACAGGUUAAUAUUCCUGUACUUGGUGUUACUGCGAAGGGGGGACGGAGAAGGCUAUGUUGGCCGGGCGACGGUUGUCCCGGUUUAAGCGUGUAGGCUGGUUUUCCAGGCAAAUCCGGAAAAUCAAGGCUGAGGCGUGAUGACGAGGCACUACGGUGCUGAAGCAACAAAUGCCCUGCUUCCAGGAAAAGCCUCUAAGCAUCAGGUAACAUCAAAUCGUACCCCAAACCGACACAGGUGGUCAGGUAGAGAAUACCAAGGCGCUUGAGAGAACUCGGGUGAAGGAACUAGGCAAAAUGGUGCCGUAACUUCGGGAGAAGGCACGCUGAUAUGUAGGUGAAGUCCCUCGCGGAUGGAGCUGAAAUCAGUCGAAGAUACCAGCUGGCUGCAACUGUUUAUUAAAAACACAGCACUGUGCAAACACGAAAGUGGACGUAUACGGUGUGACGCCUGCCCGGUGCCGGAAGGUUAAUUGAUGGGGUCAGCGCAAGCGAAGCUCUUGAUCGAAGCCCCGGUAAACGGCGGCCGUAACUAUAACGGUCCUAAGGUAGCGAAAUUCCUUGUCGGGUAAGUUCCGACCUGCACGAAUGGCGUAAUGAUGGCCAGGCUGUCUCCACCCGAGACUCAGUGAAAUUGAACUCGCUGUGAAGAUGCAGUGUACCCGCGGCAAGACGGAAAGACCCCGUGAACCUUUACUAUAGCUUGACACUGAACAUUGAGCCUUGAUGUGUAGGAUAGGUGGGAGGCUUAGAAGUGUGGACGCCAGUCUGCAUGGAGCCGACCUUGAAAUACCACCCUUUAAUGUUUGAUGUUCUAACGUUGACCCGUAAUCCGGGUUGCGGACAGUGUCUGGUGGGUAGUUUGACUGGGGCGGUCUCCUCCUAAAGAGUAACGGAGGAGCACGAAGGUUGGCUAAUCCUGGUCGGACAUCAGGAGGUUAGUGCAAUGGCAUAAGCCAGCUUGACUGCGAGCGUGACGGCGCGAGCAGGUGCGAAAGCAGGUCAUAGUGAUCCGGUGGUUCUGAAUGGAAGGGCCAUCGCUCAACGGAUAAAAGGUACUCCGGGGAUAACAGGCUGAUACCGCCCAAGAGUUCAUAUCGACGGCGGUGUUUGGCACCUCGAUGUCGGCUCAUCACAUCCUGGGGCUGAAGUAGGUCCCAAGGGUAUGGCUGUUCGCCAUUUAAAGUGGUACGCGAGCUGGGUUUAGAACGUCGUGAGACAGUUCGGUCCCUAUCUGCCGUGGGCGCUGGAGAACUGAGGGGGGCUGCUCCUAGUACGAGAGGACCGGAGUGGACGCAUCACUGGUGUUCGGGUUGUCAUGCCAAUGGCACUGCCCGGUAGCUAAAUGCGGAAGAGAUAAGUGCUGAAAGCAUCUAAGCACGAAACUUGCCCCGAGAUGAGUUCUCCCUGACCCUUUAAGGGUCCUGAAGGAACGUUGAAGACGACGACGUUGAUAGGCCGGGUGUGUAAGCGCAGCGAUGCGUUGAGCUAACCGGUACUAAUGAACCGUGAGGCUUAACCUUACAACGCCGAAG